GACGAACGCUGGCGGCGUGCUUAACACAUGCAAGUCGAACGAUGAAGCUGGAGCUUGCUCCGGUGGAUUAGUGGCGGACGGGUGAGUAACACGUGAGCAAUCUGCCCUUCACUCUGGGAUAACUGCGGGAAACUGUAGCUAAUACCGGAUACGAGACCUUGGGGCAUCCCAGGGUCUGGAAAGAAUUUCGGUGAAGGAUGAGCUCGCGGCCUAUCAGCUAGUUGGUGAGGUAAUGGCUCACCAAGGCGACGACGGGUAGCCGGCCUGAGAGGGUGACCGGCCACACUGGGACUGAGACACGGCCCAGACUCCUACGGGAGGCAGCAGUGGGGAAUAUUGCACAAUGGGCGAAAGCCUGAUGCAGCAACGCCGCGUGAGGGAUGAAGGCCUUCGGGUUGUGAACCUCUUUUAGUAGGGAAGAAGCGCAAGUGACGGUACCUACAGAAAAAGCACCGGCUAACUACGUGCCAGCCGCCGCGGUAACAC
rnacentral:rRNA from 1 species